UACGUAGGGUCCGAGCGUUGUCCGGAAUUAUUGGGCGUAAAGAGCUCGUAGGCGGUUUGUCGCGUCUGCCGUGAAAGUCCGGGGCUCAACUCCGGAUCUGCGGUGGGUACGGGCAGACUAGAGUGUGGUAGGGGAGACUGGAAUUCCUGGUGUAGCGGUGAAAUGCGCAGAUAUCAGGAGGAACACCGAUGGCGAAGGCAGGUCUCUGGGCCACUACUGACGCUGAGAAGCGAAAGCAUGGGGAGCGAACAGG
rnacentral:rRNA from 1 species